rnacentral:rRNA from 1 species
AGAGUUUGAUCCUGGCUCAGGAUGAACGCUGGCGGCAUGCCUAAUACAUGCAAGUCGAACGAGAGGAGAAGAAGCUUGCUUCUUUGAAUCUAGUGGCGAACGGGUGAGUAACACGUAGGUAACCUGCCCAUGUGCCCGGGAUAACUUCUGGAAACGGAUGCUAAAACCGGAUAGGUAGCAGACAAGCAUUUGACUGCUAUUAAAGUGGCCUUGGCCAUGAACAUGGAUGGACCUGCGGUGCAUUAGCUGGUUGGUGAGGUAACGGCCCACCAAGGCGACGAUGCAUAGCCGGCCUGAGAGGGCGGACGGCCACAUUGGGACUGAGACACGGCCCAAACUCCUACGGGAGGCAGCAGUAGGGAAUUUUCGUCAAUGGGGGGAACCCUGAACGAGCAAUGCCGCGUGAGUGAGGAAGGUCUUCGGAUCGUAAAGCUCUGUUGUAAGAGAAAAACGGCACUCAUAGGGAAUGAUGAGUGAGUGAUGGUAUCUUACCAGAAAGUCACGGCUAACUACGUGCCAGCAGCCGCGGUAAUACGUAGGUGGCGAGCGUUAUCCGGAAUGAUUGGGCGUAAAGGGUGCGUAGGUGGCAGAUCAAGUCUGGAGUAAAAGGUAUGGGCUCAACCCGUACUGGCUCUGGAAACUGAUCAGCUAGAGAACAGAAGAGGACGGCGGAACUCCAUGUGUAGCGGUAAAAUGCGUAGAUAUAUGGAAGAACACCGGUGGCGAAGGCGGCCGUCUGGUCUGGAUUCUGACACUGAAGCACGAAAGCGUGGGGAGCAAAUAGGAUUAGAUACCCUAGUAGUCCACGCCGUAAACGAUGAGAACUAGGUGUUGGGGGAAUAACUCAGUGCCGCAGUUAACGCAGUAAGUUCUCCGCCUGGGGAGUAUGCACGCAAGUGUGAAACUCAAAGGAAUUGACGGGGGCCCGCACAAGCGGUGGAGUAUGUGGUUUAAUUCGACGCAACGCGAAGAACCUUACCAGGUCUUGACAUUGAUCGCCAUUCACAGAAAUGUGAAGUUCUCCUUCGGGAGACGAGAAAACAGGUGGUGCACGGCUGUCGUCAGCUCGUGUCGUGAGAUGUUGGGUUAAGUCCCGCAACGAGCGCAACCCUUGUGAUAUGUUACUAACAUUGAGUUGAGGACUCAUAUCAGACUGCCGGUGAUAAACCGGAGGAAGGUGGGGAUGACGUCAAAUCAUCAUGCCCCUUAUGGCCUGGGCUACACACGUACUACAAUGGCUAUUACAACGUGCAGCGACAGCGCAAGCUGAAGCGAAUCACUGAAAGAUAGUCUCAGUUCGGAUUGAGGUCUGCAACCCGACCUCAUGAAGUUGGAAUCGCUAGUAAUCGCGGAUCAGCAUGCCGCGGUGAAUACGUUCUCGGGCCUUGUACACACCGCCCGUCAUACCAUGAGAGCUGGCAAUACCCGAAGCCGGUGGCCUAACCGCAAGGAAGGAGCUGUCUAAGGUGGGACUGAUGAUUGGGGUGAAGUCGUAACAAGGUAUCCCUACGGGAACGUGGGGAUG